GGUAGAUGGGUCCAUGCAAGCCAAUUUAUCUGACAAGCCCCUUAUGAUACAGAGUUCGUGGUCCAGGAAAGGGAAGCCAUGGACUGAGACCUUACAAGGGCUUCAACCCAAACACGAGUGUUCUUUCCAAAAGGCAUUGCCUUGUGUCAAGCUUUCUUAUGAGAACUGCAGAAAGAAAGGAGCAUCAGGGACUGGAUACUCUAACAGGGCAAUUGGCACACAAAGUGGAACAACUGGAAAGAAACAGGUUUAUAAAAAUGCCGAUGGCGGAUUUGCUGCAGGCUAAAUUGUACAGUAAACGUUUUCUCUUCGGCACAUGGGAUCCUCGGUGACUGGGGCCUGUUGCCUUUUGUGACUGUGUAACCAACGCGCCAGAAGGAAGUUCGAAAAUCCCGAAGUGCUCCUUCCCAAGGCUGAAGGAAAAAUAUGUAAAUCGGUAAAAGGAGGAAAUCCGACUGAUCUUGUACAAGGAGCCUUUGACAACACUGUGUGUGCAAGCCUCUGCUGAGAAAAAGGCUGCCUUGAUGACUGACUUUUCAUUUUAAGGUGGGAAUUUUCUGCCUCCAAGCCCAGAUAGAAAUUUGGUGCAUUUUAAGGAAAUAGGAUUUAGAAAAUCAAAGGCUAAUACAUUUUAGCAAAAUCUUGGAUUACGGGACAGGUAAUGGCUUGCUUUAACCAAAAACUGUGAAUCUAACCUUGACGUUUGAGUAUUCAGUUUGAAGACUGAAGAACCUCUAACAAUGGCAAUCAUUGGUUCUGGGUGAAAUUGGGGCUCAAAAGGAUAGUGCCUUGUUUGUUUCUCUCCUCCCUUAUGUGGUCCUCUGUGUCUUGCUGGUUUCAGUACCACCGCCCCAUACAUCCAACCCCAGAGAGCCUUACUGACUGUUAAAUGGCUCCAGAAUCUCAGAUUCACAUGUCCUGUCAGCUGUUGUGUGAAAUUCCAGACCUGCCCCUGAGCAUCUCUCCUAGUAUCCGACAGGAACCCUCAAACCUGACUGUCUAAAAUGGAAUUGUGAUCUUACCCUCAGUCUGCCACCUUCUCAAAUUCCCCACCUCACUGUGGGGCACCAUCAUCCCCUGAGGCCCCUUGCAAGGGAGCCUGGAAUCAUUCCACCUUCCUGGUCUCUCUUACCUGAUCAGGCCUUGAAUGUUGGCCAUUCUCGCUGCCUCCUGUCUCUUGAAUAGGAUCAUGUCUCUCCUUCCCCCAAAGACAUUUGCCUCAUUCAGGCUUUUAUUGCUUCUCACCUAGACCACAGCUGUAGUCCCCUUGUUGGUCUCUGCUAUGGUAUGAAUUUGUGUGUCCCUCAAAAAUCGUAUGUUGAAAUCUUAAUGUCCAGUGUGAUGGUAUUAGGAGGUGGGUUCUUUGGGAGGUGGUUGGGUCAUGAAGAUGGAACCAUCAUGAAUGGGACUAAUGCCCUCACAAAAGUGGCCCCAGAGAGUUCCCUAGCCCCCUCCCACCAUGUGAGUAGCAGUGAGAAGUCCACAGUCUACAACCCAAAAGAGGGCUUUCACCAGAACCCAGCCAUGCUGGCACCUUGUUCAUGGACUUCCAUCCUUUAAAAUUGUGAGAAAUAAAUUUCUGUUGUU